UACGUAGGGUGCAAGCGUUGUCCGGAAUUAUUGGGCGUAAAGAGCUCGUAGGCGGUCUGUCGCGUCUGCUGUGAAAACUCAGGGCUUAACCCUGAGCUUGCAGUGGUAGGUACGGCAGACUAGAGUGCGGUAGGGGAGACUGGAAUUCCUGGUGUAGCGGUGAAAUGCGCAGAUAUCAGGAGGAACACCGGUGGCGAAGGCGGGUCUCUGGGCCGAUACUGACGCUGGAGGAGCGAAAGCGUGGGGAGCGAACAGG
rnacentral:rRNA from 1 species